rnacentral:lncRNA from 10 species
ACGGCCUGCAGUCCGUGCCUCUCUGCCCGCGCGGGGACCACACAGUUGGAGAGGCUGCCGGGCACCGGCGCGGGCGAUGCUCAGCAUGGACCUCCGGCCGGCCAGCCUGGGCUUGUUUUCCCGGUAGUACUGGGUUCUGAGAGAGAGUAACUGCAUGGAAGGCCUUGAAGACUGGGCUUGGGCCUGCUGUACCCACAUGACUGCUUCUGCCACGUUCUACUGGCCAAGCUCUAUGGGCAGCUCAGACACAAGGGAAGAGACUCUGCUGCUUCCUGGGAGAAGCUGCAAGACCACAUUGCGAAGGAACAUGUUGUUGCUGCUCCCAUGUUACCUUCGUCAGUGACCUGAGAUGCAGACUGGAUCUAGGGAAUGGUGUUUCCUGUGUGAUGCCUUCCAGGAGUAUCUGCACCACGGGCAGUGCCAGGCCGAGGACAGAGGGCCUAAUGGAGGACACUCUACAACUCCAUCCUGCUGCUGGGGGGGCUUGGGGGCGCCUCCACGAGGGUCUUCAGAGGAAAGGCAUGUGUGUGGUCUGUGGCCUGCCAGCAGGAGAGCUGGGGGAGGCCGGCAUCUUGAGGCUGUUGGCAGCAAGUGCAGGCAGAGGCCUCGGGCCAGAGGGGAGGUGGCAGGGCUCAGGUGCCCUGUGCUUCCUCGGAGAAGGCACUUGGGAUGAAGGCUUAGUCCUGCCUGGUAAACCUGGAGGCCUGUGAACACUGGGGUUAGCCCCAACAAGGGAGGAGGUUCCCGCUGCCUCACUAAGAACAGCCUGCUGCUACACUCACCCUGACAGCUGCUCCGCUCCCAGUGAACCCCACCCCGAGAAGGCUCAUCGGGGCCACGGACCUCCCUCAGCGCUGCAUUCAGAAUCCCUCAGGAGUUGUAAACUUCC